UACGGAGGGGGCUAGCGUUGUUCGGAAUUACUGGGCGUAAAGCGCACGUAGGCGGCUUUGCAAGUCAGAGGUGAAAGCCCGGGGCUCAACCCCGGAAUUGCCUUUGAGACUGCAUCGCUAGAAUUGUGGAGAGGUAAGUGGAAUUCCGAGUGUAGAGGUGAAAUUCGUAGAUAUCGGGAGGAACACCAGUGGCGAAGGCGACUAUCUGGGGUGCAACUGACGCUGAGGCGCGAAGGCUAGGGUAGCAAACGA
rnacentral:rRNA from 1 species